GACAGAGGGUGCAAACGUUGCUCGGAAUUACUGGGCGUAAAGGGCUCGUAGGUGGCCAACUAAGUCAGACGUGAAAUCCCUCGGCUUAACCGGGGAACUGCGUCUGAUACUGGAUGGCUUGAGUUCGGGAGAGGGAUGCGGAAUUCCAGGUGUAGCGGUGAAAUGCGUAGAUAUCUGGAGGAACACCGGUGGCGAAGGCGGCAUCCUGGACCGAUACUGACGCUCAGGCACGAAAGCGUGGGGAGCAAACAGG
rnacentral:rRNA from 1 species